CAGUAGCCGCGGUAAAACGGAGGGUGCAAGCGUUAAUCGGAAUUACUGGGCGUAAAGCGUGCGUAGGCGGUUCGUUAAGUCUGUUGUGAAAGCCCCGGGCUCAACCUGGGAAUGGCAAUGGAUACUGGCGAGCUAGAGUGUGUCAGAGGAUGGUGGAAUUCCCGGUGUAGCGGUGAAAUGCGUAGAGAUCGGGAGGAACAUCAGUGGCGAAGGCGGCCAUCUGGGACAACACUGACGCUGAAGCACGAAAGCGUGGGGAGCAAACAGGAUUAGAUACCCGUGUAGUCCCUGUCUCUUAUAC
rnacentral:rRNA from 1 species